AGUGAACGCUGGCGGUAGGCCUAACACAUGCAAGUCGAACGGCAGCACAGUAAGAGCUUGCUCUUACGGGUGGCGAGUGGCGGACGGGUGAGGAAUACAUCGGAAUCUACUUUUUCGUGGGGGAUAACGUAGGGAAACUUACGCUAAUACCGCAUACGACCUACGGGUGAAAGCAGGGGAUCUUCGGACCUUGCGCGAUUGAAUGAGCCGAUGUCGGAUUAGCUAGUUGGCUGGGUAAAGGCCCACCAAGGCGACGAUCCGUAGCUGGUCUGAGAGGAUGAUCAGCCACACUGGAACUGAGACACGGUCCAGACUCCUACGGGAGGCAGCAGUGGGGAAUAUUGGACAAUGGGCGAAAGCCUGAUCCAGCAAUACCGCGUGGGUGAAGAAGGCCUUCGGGUUGUAAAGCCCUUUUGUUGGGAAAGAAAAGCAGCAGGUUAAUACCCCGCUGUUCUGACGGUACCCAAAGAAUAAGCACCGGCUAACUUCGUG
rnacentral:rRNA from 1 species